rnacentral:tRNA from 1 species
AGUGGAGUGCCUGAUUAAAGGGUUAGCUUGAUAGGGUAAAUAAAGGAAAUAAAAAUUACCUCCAUGA